UUGACCUCGAAUCAGGUAGGGAUACCCGCUGAACUUAAGCAUAUCAAUAAGCGGAGGAAAAGAAACCAACAGGGAUUACCUCAGUAACGGCGAGUGAAGCGGUAACAGCUCAAAUUUGAAAUCUGGCUCCUUCGGAGUCCGAGUUGUAAUUUGUAGAAGAUGCUUUGGGUUGCAGGUUCGGUCUAAGUUCCUUGGAACAGGGCGUCAUAGAGGGUGAGAAUCCCGUCUGCGGCCGUGACCUGUGCCCGUGUAAAGCUCUUUCGACGAGUCGAGUUGUUUGGGAAUGCAGCUCAAAAUGGGUGGUAAAUUUCAUCUAAAGCUAAAUAUUGGCCAGAGACCGAUAGCGCACAAGUAGAGUGAUCGAAAGAUGAAAAGCACUUUGGAAAGAGAGUUAAACAGUACGUGAAAUUGUUGAAAGGGAAGCGCUUGCAACCAGACUUGGGCGUCGUGGAUCAUCCGAGGUUCUCCUCGGUGCACUCGACGACGCACAGGCCAGCAUCGGUUUGGAUGGCUGGAAAAAGGCCCUAGAAAUGUAGCUCCUCGCGGGGAGUGUUAUAGUCUAGGGCGUAAUGCAGCCCAUCUGGACCGAGGACCGCGCUUCGGCUAGGAUGCUGGCGUAAUGGUUGUAAGCGACCCGUCUUGAAACACGGACCAAGGAGUCUAACAUCUAUGCGAGUGUUUGGGCGUUAAACCCAUACGCGGAAUGAAAGUGAACGUAGGUGAGAACCCGUAUGGGGGCAUCAUCGACCGAUCCUGAA
rnacentral:rRNA from 1 species